rnacentral:rRNA from 1 species
CCUAGGGUGGCUGCAGUGGGGAAUAUUGGACAAUGGGCGAAAGCCUGAUCCAGCCAUGCCGCGUGUGUGAAGAAGGCCUUCGGGUUGUAAAGCACUUUCAGUGGGGAAGAAAGCCUUGGGGCUAAUACCCUCGAGGAAGGACAUCACCCACAGAAGAAGCACCGGCUAACUCCGUGCCAGCAGCCGCGGUAAUACGGAGGGUGCGAGCGUUAAUCGGAAUUACUGGGCGUAAAGCGCGCGUAGGCGGUCUGAUAAGCCGGUUGUGAAAGCCCCGGGCUCAACCUGGGAACGGCAUCCGGAACUGUCAGGCUAGAGUGCAGGAGAGGAAGGUAGAAUUCCCGGUGUAGCGGUGAAAUGCGUAGAGAUCGGGAGGAAUACCAGUGGCGAAGGCGGCCUUCUGGACUGACACUGACGCUGAGGUGCGAAAGCGUGGGUAGCAAACAGGAUUAGAUACCCCAUAGUC